AGGCGGACAAAUCCACCAUCUUAGACCCCCAAGGGAAACCCCUUUUUGACCCUGAUGCCCUGCAUAAUCCUCGCUCAGCUGACUGGUACCCCAUGACCCAUGUGGCCAUUUUUAUAGCAACCAGGGUGAGGAAAACCCUUGAUAAGGCCAAGAGGAGUAAACUGAGGGCGGAAUGCCCACGCCCUACAUGGUUCCAGACAUGGCCGGCGUGACCCUCGAAGUGGAUCCCAAGACCGCACAGUUUUUCUUGGUAAACCGGGAUGGAAGGCCAAAAAGAGGCUGGACUAUUCUCUAAGACAUUGUCAGGACAAGGUCCUGGACAUACUCGGGCCUAUAGCCAAG